rnacentral:rRNA from 1 species
UACGAAGGGGGCUAGCGUUGCUCGGAAUCACUGGGCGUAAAGCGUGCGCAGGCGGCUAUGCAAGACAGAUGUGAAAUCCCCGGGCUCAACCUGGGAACUGCAUUUGUGACUGCAUGGCUAGAGUACGGUAGAGGGGGAUGGAAUUCCGCGUGUAGCAGUGAAAUGCGUAGAUAUGCGGAGGAACACCGAUGGCGAAGGCAAUCCCCUGGACCUGUACUGACGCUCAGGUGCGAAAGCGUGGGGAGCAAACAGG